GGCAGACGGGUGAGUAACGCGUGGGAAUCUACCCAUCUCUACGGAACAACUCCGGGAAACUGGAGCUAAUACCGUAUACGUCCUUCGGGAGAAAGAUUUAUCGGAGAUGGAUGAGCCCGCGUUGGAUUAGCUAGUUGGUGGGGUAAUGGCUUACCAAGGCGACGAUCCAUAGCUGGUCUGAGAGGAUGAUCAGCCACAUUGGGACUGAGACACGGCCCAAACUCCUACGGGAGGCAGCAGUGGGGAAUAUUGGACAAUGGGCGAAAGCCUGAUCCAGCCAUGCCGCGUGAGUGAUGAAGGCCCUAGGGUUGUAAAGCUCUUUCAACGGUGAAGAUAAUGACGGUAACCGUAGAAGAAGCCCCGGCUAACUUCGUGCCAGCCGCCGCGG
rnacentral:rRNA from 1 species